rnacentral:rRNA from 1 species
GAUCGUAAAGCUCUGUCACGAGGGAAGAAACCUCAGUAGGCUAAUAUCCUAUUGAAUUGACGGUACCUCCAGAGGAAGCACCGGCUAACUCCGUGCCAGCAGCCGCGGUAAUACGGAGGGUGCAAGCGUUGUUCGGAAUUAUUGGGCGUAAAGCGCGUGUAGGCGGUUAGUUAAGUCUGAUGUGAAAGCCCCGGGCUCAACCUGGGAAGUGCAUUGGAAACUGGCAAACUUGAGUACGGGAGAGGGAAGUGGAAUUUCGAGUGUAGGGGUGAAAUCCGUAGAUAUUCGAAGGAACACCAGUGGCGAAGGCGGCUUCCUGGACCGAUACUGACGCUGAGACGCGAAAGCNUGGGGAGCAAACAGGAUUAGAUACCCUGGUAGUCCACGCCGUAAACNAUGGGUACUAGGUGUUGCGGGUAUUGACCCCUGCAGUGCCNAAGCUAACGCAUUAAGUACCCCGCCUGGGGAGUACGGCCGCAAGGCUAAAACUC